rnacentral:rRNA from 1 species
UAAGUAACCUGCCCUAGACAGGGGGAUAACUAUUGGAAACGAUAGCUAAGACCGCAUAGGUACGGACACUGCAUGGUGACCGUAUUAAAAGUGCCUCAAAGCACUGGUAGAGGAUGGACUUAUGGCGCAUUAGCUGGUUGGCGGGGUAACGGCCCACCAAGGCGACGAUGCGUAGCCGACCUGAGAGGAUGACCAGCCACACUGGAACUGAGACACGGUCCAG